UACGUAGGGUGCAAGCGUUAAUCGGAAUUACUGGGCGUAAAGCGUGCGCAGGCGGUUUUGUAAGCCAGAUGUGAAAUCCCCGGGCUCAACCUGGGAAUGGCAUUUGGGACUGCAAGGCUCGAGUGCGGCAGAGGAGACUGGAAUUCCUGGUGUAGCAGUGAAAUGCGUAGAUAUCAGGAGGAACACCGAUGGCGAAGGCAGGUCUCUGGGCUGACACUGACGCUCAUGCACGAAAGCGUGGGGAGCAAACCGG
rnacentral:rRNA from 1 species